rnacentral:rRNA from 1 species
CCUACGGGGGGCUGCAGUGAGGAAUUUUGCGCAAUGGGAGCAAUCCUGACGCAGCAACGCCGCGUGAGUGAUGAAGGCCUUCGGGUCGUAAAGCUCUGUCAGGUGGGAAGAACAUCCCUGGAAUGAAUAAGUUCGGGGAGUGACGGUACCACCAGAGGAAGCACCGGCUAACUCCGUGCCAGCAGCCGCGGUAAUACGGAGGGUGCGAGCGUUAUUCGGAAUUACUGGGCGUAAAGCGCGUGUAGACGUGAAAGCCCCGGGCUUAACCUGGGAAGUGCAUUGGAAACUGUAUUUCUUGAGUACUGGAGAGGAAGGGGGAAUUCCCGGUGUAGAGGUGAAAUUCGUAGAGAUCGGGAGGAAUAUCAGUGGCGAAGGCGCCCUUCUGGACGGAUACUGACGCUGAGACGCGAAAGCGUGGGGAGCAAACAGGAUUAGAUACCCCAGUAGUC